CUUUGAGGAGUCUGAAGAGAAGUGGCUGUCAUCCUUAGAGAGCUCAAGAUGGAUGGAGUAUGUCAGGACAUUUCUUCGGCAUGCAGUAGAGGUAGUCUAUAUGCUGGAGAGCAGACAUGUGUCUGUCGCACUCCUAGAGAAAGAGGAUCGGGACCUGAGUUGUGUGAUUUCCUGUCUG